GACGAACGCUGGCGGCGUGCUUAACACAUGCAAGUCGAACGGAAAGGCCCCUUUGGGGGUACUCGAGUGGCGAACGGGUGAGUAACACGUGAGUAACCUGCCCUUGACUUCGGGAUAACUUCAGGAAACUGGGGCUAAUACCGGAUAGGAAUCCUUGCUGCAUGGUGGGGGUUGGAAAGCUUCGGCGGUUUUGGAUGGACUCGCGGCUUAUCAGCUUGUUGGUGGGGUAGUGGCUUACCAAGGCUUUGACGGUAGCCGGCCCGAGAGGGCGACCGGCCACAUUGGGACUGAGAUACGGCCCAGACUCCUACGGGAGGCAGCAGUGGGGAAUAUUGCACAAUGGGCGGAAGCCUGAUGCAGCAACGCCGCGUGCGGGAUGACGGCCUUCGGGUUGUAAACCGCUUUCAGCAGGGGCGAAGCUUGUGGUGACGGUACCUGCAGAAGAAGCACCGGCUAACUACGUG
rnacentral:rRNA from 1 species